AAAGCAAACAGCCCCGCCGUGCCCGGGAGCCUCCCCGCCCCGCGCGGCCUCGUGCGUCUCGGGACAGCGAAGACUCGGCCGUUUCAGAGCUCUUGGGCAAGGUGUGUCUGUUCAACAAGAAGCUAUCUAUAUUCAAGCAGAGAGAAUUCAAAGCCUGAGCACCACUGAAGAACCAACCCUCCCCACUCCCCUCAGCCUGAACCAACAAAGCCCCUGAGCCUGCUCUAGCACCGCUUUCUCCACAUUCCAUGGAGCUGGACUGCUGACGCUGGCAUCAUGCCAAGUUUGAGCUCUUGAAGACACAGGAGUGCUACGCUCCAGGUCAGAGGCCUGUCCCUUUGAGGCAAGAAUGGACAAUAUGUUGCCUGCAGGCCUCUUGUGACCUACUUCCCUUUGAGGGCACAGUGGCAAAACAAUUAGUGGUUUGUUGCUGGGUUUAAAGCCAACUUUGGCCUUUUUAGGCCACCAUCACUGAAAUUCAGUGGCAAACCAAUUGUUUUGCCACCAAAAUUCAGUGGUUCUGUCUUAAAAGGGCUCAACCCAGACUCAGCAUUAGGGCAAACUAAGGGGGAAGUCCAAAAGUGGCUCAGUAAAAAGGCACAGGGGAGGAGCACAUGUAUCAGUCCAGUAAGUGGUUUCCAGAAGAGAGAGUAUAUUUUAAAGACAUUCCCUCUAUACCCAUGGCAAUCUCCCCUGAGGGUCCAGGCUCCCCCAGGUCUCUUGAUAAGCGUGCUUUCAUGGUGUCAUCUGUCCCUGGGAGCCCUAGCUCCACGGAUGAGGAAAAUUCUUCCAGUGGGGCCAUGACUGGCACACAGUGGCUGGGGUAUGGCCUACAGAGGGUUGAAAUUGCCCCCUGAAGCCCCUGUUGCCCACCUGUUUUAAGGAUUCCAUUUUGUAGGAAGGAGUGGGGUCUGGGAAAAGGCCAGCAGACUGACAAGUAAAAGGCUUUAGUUUGGCCUCAAAUGUUGUCAGAGCAAAUUGCUCACUAUGAGCUUUUCUAGGUGCUGCAACAUCUAGCCUGCCUUGCUGCUUUGCAAGGGAGGUACUGCAACUCAGCAGUGUAGCACCUACUUUGCAUGCAGAAGAUCCCUGGUUUGAUACCUAGCACUUCCAGAAAGGGUUGGAAAAACUCAGGCCUGAAACCCUGGAUGGACUCAUGGCCUGAUUCAGUUCCUAUGUUCCUACUGUCUUGCACUGAGCCCUGUGGGCUCCUACUAAGACCAGAUCUCAACACUCACCUUUUAAGUCCAAAUUCAAAGAUGCAGCAAUAACCUUAUGCCACCCAGACCUUGCUGACAAUGGCUUGCACCACAGUCAUCCAAAAGAAAGGUGUCUGGUAAAUAAUGCGGGGAGAUUGAAGGAAGAUUGAUGAUUAGGAACU